GUUUUCUCUGAUUCGUUUGCAGGAUACAAGCGGAUUAUAAUUAGUUUAUAUGAGCAUAUACGUAUAAGCGGACACAUUCAUUCUUUUGUUGACGCUCUACGGCGAGGGGCCGCCGCAUUCUAUAUGGACAUUUCAAACAAAGCAUCAUUCAUCGUUUGGAGGGCUGGCGAUAUUGACUCGGACACGUUUCUGUUU